rnacentral:tRNA from 1 species
GGGGAUGUAGCUCAAUGGUAGAGCACUUGCCUACUAUUCAUAAGAUCCUGGAUUCCAUUGCCAACAGCCUUA